rnacentral:rRNA from 1 species
CCGUAACUAUAACGGUCCUAAGGUAGCGAAAUUCCUUGUCGGGUAAGUUCCGACCCGCACGAAAGGCGUAACGAUUUGGGCACUGUCUCAACAACAGACUCGGUGAAAUUGUAGUACCGGUGAAGAUGCCGGAAACCUGCGACAGGACGGAAAGACCCCAUGGAGCUUUACUGUAGCUUAGUAUUGAAUUUAUGUAAUUAAUGUACAGAAUAGGUGGGAGGCUGAGAGAUUAGGUCGUCAGAUUUAAAGGAGCCGCCUUUGGGAUACCACCCUUUGAUUAUGUGAGUUCUAACCGGAAUCUUUGAAGCAAGGUACGGGACAGUGCUUGGCGGACAGUUUGACUGGGGCGGUCGCCUCCCAAAGAGUAACGGAGGCGUCCAAAGGUUCCCUCAGCAUGGUCGGAAAUCAUGCGAAGAGUGCAAAGGCAAAAGGGAGCUUGAUUGCGAGACCAACAAGUCGAGCAAAGACGAAAGUCGGGCUUAGUGAUCCGGUGGUAGAAAGUGGAAUUGCCAUCGCUCAACGGAUAAAAGCUACCCUGGGGAUAACAGGCUGAUCUCCCCCAAGAGUUCACAUCGACGGGGAGGUUUGGCACCUCGAUGUCGGCUCAUCACAUCCUGGGGCUGGAGUAGGUCCCAAGGGUUGGGCUGUUCGCCCAUUAAAGUGGUACGCGAGCUGGGUUCAGAACGUCGUGAGACAGUUCGGUCCCUAUCCGUCGCAGGCGUUGGAUAUUUGAGAGGAGCUAUCCUUAGUACGAGAGGACCGGGAUGGACGCACCACUGGUGUACCAGUUGUCUUGCCAAAGGCACAGCUGGGUAGCUAUGUGCGGUUAAGAUAAGUGCUGAAGGCAUCUAAGCACGAAGCCAACCUCAAGAUAAGAUAUCCCAUACGCAAGUAGUAAGACCCCAUUAAGAACAAGUGGUAGAUAGGCAAGGAGUGGAAGUGCAGUAAUGCAUGUAGCUGACUUGUACUAAUAGGUCGAGGACUUAACCUA